GAUGAACGCUGGCGGCGUGCCUAAUACAUGCAAGUCGAGCGAACGGACGAGAAGCUUGCUUCUCUGAUGUUAGCGGCGGACGGGUGAGUAACACGUGGAUAACCUACCUAUAAGACGGGGAUAACUUCGGGAAACCGUAGCUAAUACCGGAUAAUAUUUUGAACCGCAUGGUUCAAGAGUGAAAGACGGUCUUGCUGUCACUUAUAGAUGGAUCCGCGCUGCAUUAGCUAGUUGGUAAGGUAACGGCUCACCAAGGCAACGAGGCAUAGCCGACCUGAGAGGGGGACGGCCCCCAUUGGAACGGAGCCCCGGCCCAGCCUCCUACGGGGGGCACCAGUAGGGAACUUCCCGCAAUGGGCGAAAGCCUGACGGAGCAACCCCGCGUGAUUGAGGAGGUUCUCCGGACCUUAAACCCCUUUGAUUAGGGAAGACCAUAUGUGUAAUUAACUGCGCAUAUAGUGACGGUACCUAAUCAGAAAGCCACGGCUAACUACGUG
rnacentral:rRNA from 1 species